GUGCCAGCAGCCGCGGUAAUACGGAGGGUCCGAGCGUUAUCCGGAAUCAUUGGGUUUAAAGGGUCCGUAGGCGGGCCUGUAAGUCAGGGGUGAAAGUUUGUGGCUCAACCAUAAAAUUGCCUUUGAUACUGCAGGUCUUGAGUCAUGGUGGGGUUGCCGGAACAUGUGGUGUAGCGGUGAAAUGCAUAGAUAUCACAUAGAACACCGAUCGCGAAGGCAGGUGACCAACCAUGUACUGACGCUGAUGGACGAAAGCGUGGGUAGCGAACGGGAUUAGAUACCCCGGUAGUCCACGCCGUAAACGAUGGAUACUAGCUGUGGGGACUUCGGUCUCCGUGGCCAAGCGAAAGUGAUAAGUAUCCCACCUGGGGAGUACGUUCGCAAGAAUGAAACUCAAAGGAAUUGACGG
rnacentral:rRNA from 1 species